rnacentral:lncRNA from 1 species
AACCAGCUCUACAAACAGUAUUUGUUCAUUCUUGCCAUUUUCUGUUUUUGUUGAUACCAUCCCAUACCGGCCAUCAUGCACAUGGGAUCAAAAAAGGAAAUGAGGAAGAAUAUAUUGCUUCCUACUGCUAUGGAUAUCAACUGUAAUUGAAGAUCCAGAGGCACCUGAGAGUUCUCUUUCUUCACUUUGUACUCCCUGAUCACUGAUUUAAAAGGAAGAGAGAUAUGAUUACACAUGAAGCAUGUAAGAAGCAUGCUUUUCUUUCCUGCAUGUGGAAGGCCAUUUAGGCACUCCUGGGGUUGUACUCCACAGCAAGCCGUUGACCUGCUGUACCGAGUCUGGCAUCAAGAGAUCCUUGUGACUGCGCUCCCACGUGACUGCAAUGAUCUGCAAGCUCGCUAGAUUUCUCUACAAACCUCUUCUCCUGCCCGGUUCUUCCACAAAGUGUUAUUUAUCAAUCUGGAUCAAACUUCUCCAGCCUACCCAACCACAUGGACACAAAGGACAUAGGAGAUGACUCAUGGUAGUAGUGAGCCACUGGAGAGGAUGGCUGGAUGGGGC